UUUGAAGAAUAUUUCUUACUUUUAUAAGCAGACAUGAUAAUAUUUAAACAAAUUACUGUUAUAGGUGGCGAUUGGCGAUUUCUGCUCACAUAAGGUCCCUGGGAACCACCAUCAACGUCACUGAUCUGCUUGACACAUCUUCACAUUAUGCUUCUUUCACUGCAAACUGUAAAGAAAACGGAAUUAUGCUGGCAAUGGAAGAUGAGAAUCAUGCUGCCUUCGAAACUUGACGCUCCUGUGGCUUACAGAUGAGAUAACACGAUCACGCAUUCAAACGUUGGCGUUCCGUGACCUACAGGUAAAUUGACGUCUAUCUGCCUAAGUCCGACGCCGCCACCAGAUUGUGAUAUAAGAUUUUUUCGACUGUAAUUGUUUUUAGUUUAAAUAAAAAAAUAUAUAAAUUUUAA